GGCCGGUUAGCUUAGCUGGUCAGAGCGUGGUGCUAAUAACGAUAAGGUCAUGGGUUCAAUCUCCAUACUGGCCA
rnacentral:tRNA from 1 species